rnacentral:rRNA from 1 species
AUUGAACGCUGGCGGAAUAGCUUUACUACAUGCAAGUCGAACGGCGAGCACGGGGCAACCUGGUGGCGAGUGGCGAACGGGUGAGUAAUACAUCGGAACGUGCCCAAUCGUGGGGGAUAACGUAGCGAAAGUUACGCUAAUACCGCAUACGAUCUACGGAUGAAAGCGGGGGAUCGCAAGACCUCGCGCGAGUGGAGCGGCCGAUGUCAGAUUAGGUAGUUGGUGGGGUAAAGGCUCACCAAGCCAACGAUCUGUGGCUGGUCUGAGAGGACGACCAGCCACACUGGAACUGAGACACGGUCCAGACUCCUACGGGAGGCAGCAGUGGGGAAUUUUGGACAAUGGGCGCAAGCCUGAUCCAGCCAUUCCGCGUGCAGGAUGAAGGCCUUCGGGUUGUAAACUGCUUUUGUACGGAACGAAACGGCGAGCUCUAAUACAGUUUGCUAAUGACGGUACCGUAAGAAUAAGCACCGGCUAACUACGUG